GCCACACUGGGACUGAGAUACGGCCCAGACUCCUACGGGAGGCAGCAGUCGAGAGGCUUCGGCAAUGGGGGAAACCCUGACCGAGCGACGCCGCGUGGGCGAUGAAGGUCGUAAGAUUGUAAAGCCCUGUCAGGAGGGAAGAAAUGCGGGGAGUCAAACAGGCUUUCCGUUUGACGGUACCUCCAGAGGAAGCUCCGGCUAACUCCGUGCCAGCAGCCGCGGUAAUACGGGGGGAGCAAACGUUGUUCGGAAUUACUGGGCGUAAAGGGCGAGUAGGCGGGCCGGUAAGUGGAAUGUGAAAGGCCCUGGCUCAACCAGGGACGUGCAUUCCAAACUGCCAGUCUUGAGUACAGGAGAGGAUGGGGGAAUUCCCGGUGUGCGGUGGAAUGCAUUGAUAUCGGGAGGAACACCAGUGGCGAAGGCGCCCAUCUGGCCUGAUACUGACGCUGAUUCGCGAAAGCUAGGGGAGCAAACAGGAUUAGAUACCCUGGUAGUCCUAGCCGUAAACGGUGAGCACUAGGUGUAGGAGGCAUCGACCCCUCCUGUGCCGCAGCUAACGCAUUAAGUGCUCCGCCUGGGGAGUACGACCGCAAGGUUGAAACUCAAAGGAAUUGACGGGGGCCCGCACAAGCGGUGGAGCAUGUGGUUUAAUUCGAUGCAACGCGAAGAACCUUACCCAGGUUUGACAUGCACCGGACAGGUGUGGAAACACAUUUUCCCUUCGGGGUCGGUGCACAGGUGCUGCAUGGCUGUCGUCAGCUCGUGUCGUGAGAUGUUGGGUUAAGUCCCGCAACGAGCGCAACCCUUGUCCUUAGUUGCCAUCAAGUGAAGUUGGGCACUCUAGGGAGACUGCCGUCGAUAAGGCGGAGGAAGGUGGGGAUGACGUCAAGUCCUCAUGGUCCUUACGCCUGGGGCUACACACGUGCUACAAUGGCUGGUACAAUGGGUUGCAAAUGCCGCGAGGUGGAGCUAAUCUCAAAAAACCAGUCUCAGUUCGGAUUGCAGUCUGCAACUCGACUGCAUGAAGGCGGAAUCGCUAGUAAUCGCUGAUCAGCAGGCAGCGGUGAAUAUGUUCCCGGGCCUUGUACACACCGCCCGUCAAGCCACGAAAGUAGGCAGUACCCGAAGUCGCUAUCCUAACCGCAAGGAGGGAAGCGCCGAAGGUAAGGCUUGCGAUUGGGGCUAAGUCGUAACAAGGUA
rnacentral:rRNA from 1 species